rnacentral:rRNA from 1 species
UACAGAGGUCCCGAGCGUUGUUCGGAUUUAUUGGGCGUAAAGGGUGCGUAGGUGGCAAAGUAAGUUGGGUGUGAAAUCCCGGGGCUUAACCUCGGAAUGGCAUUCAAUACUGCUUCGCUCGAGUACUGGAGAGGAGGCUGGAAUUUACGGUGUAGCAGUGAAAUGCGUAGAUAUCGUAAGGAAGGCCGGUGGCGAAAGCGAGCCUCUGGACAGUUACUGACGCUGAUGCACGAAGGCCAGGGGAGCAAACGGG